rnacentral:rRNA from 1 species
CAUAGAGGGUGCCAGGCCCGUAGCGGCCGCUGCCGAUGGCGGGAGGAUCUCUCCUCAGAGUCGGGUUGCUUGAGAGUGCAGCCCCAAGUGGGUGGUAAACUCCAUCUAAGGCUAAAUAUGACCACGAGACCGAUAGCGAACAAGUACCGUGAGGGAAAGUUGAAAAGCACUUUGAAGAGAGAGUUCAAGAGUACGUGAAACCGUUCAGGGGUAAACCUGAGAAACCCGAAAUGUCGAAAGGGGAAAUUCAUUCGCGUUUCGGUC